rfam:Triticum aestivum genome assembly, contig: Triticum_aestivum_CS42_TGACv1_scaffold_462441_5DS
GGAUGCGAUCAUAGCAGGACUAAAGCAUCGGAUCCCAUCAGAACUCCAAAGUUAAGCGUGUUUGGGAGAGAGUAGUACUAGGGUGGGUGACCUCCUGGGAAGUCCUCGUGUUGCAUUCC